AUUGGAAACACACGCCAGGAGGGGUGAGUGAAGUAACAGCAGGGACUGUGGUAGCUGUAUCCUGGGGAGUGAGGAGGAAAGGGAGCGGAGGCAGCAAGGACUGGCUGCUGCGAAGAUGAUGUAAGGACCCGGCGAGGAGGUCAAAUGCUAUUCUAAUAGAAACUGGGAACACAACUCCGUGGACAAGAAUGAAGAGCUUCCGCGCUACUUCAGCCUGUUGGAGAUUGCGGAUGUAAGCUGCCACAGCCAAGAGUUGUCUUGAGAAAUUACCGGAACAGGAAGAGAGAAGUUCUGCGUUGCGAUCAGACGUGGUUGCUUUCUGGUGUGGCCUCAACAUGGAGUCCUGGCUAGCCUCUCAGCUUCAAACCCCAUUGGUUACCACCGUGACGCUGCUGCUCUUCUGAAGGUGGGUGCCAUGUUAAACUCUGCCACUAGAGGGUGCUCGAGGGAUGUUGGGCAGAAUUUUUCUUCCUGGUUCUGGUGUGCUCUCUAGGAAGGCUCCCAGUUAUUCAGUGGCUUCUUUCUGUCUCACUUCUGUAGUUUUCA
rnacentral:lncRNA from 1 species